GAGUUGGUGAAAAGCAGCUGUUUUUUAUUUGUUCUCCAUCCACAUCUGAUUAGAUAGCCCUGCUUCUGCCCACUGAGACGUGCUCGGGAACUCUCCCAGCCUCUCUGCUCACUCAUUUUCUUGGGCAUUUAGGAGCUUGGGACUGUCGGAGCUUUGUUUCACAAGCUGACGGCAUUUCAGAGGCCAAACCUGUGAGUCAUCUUCACACCGUGCCACUGGAGGACUCUUCCACCAAAGCAGAUGUCAUCUUUCAGAGGACAUGGAUGAGCAUUUUGCUCAUCCCUUCUGGUCCUGCCUCUGCUGUCCCUUCCCCUGUUACGUGACUAAUUGACAAGAUGAACAGUUCUGGACCUUUUCACUGCUGCUGCAGCUUCCAUUUGCUGUCUGGAUCCUUAGAGCAGAAUAACCCACUUGCAAGGGUGGAUAACCAGGGCUUGUUACUGCAACGAGGAGAGAAGGGCAGAUAAGCUUAUCUGAGCCUGAGAACUUUUUAUCUUUUUAUUCAUUUUUUGUUUUUUGCUCUUUGGGAUGGGGAUCUCCCGUGACAAGUCAGAAGCUGUGAGGCUGAGCUCCUGGUGCUGUGUUGGGACAAGCCCUGACCACGCUCCCACAUUGUGUGCUGAGAGUGAGCUUCAGCUCACGUAACCCUCAUCUGUUCCUCACUGCGGGCUUCUGUGCCUUUGCCUUGGGUUCCUAAGUGAAUUUCUGGGAGUCCCGGGUUAAGUCCAGUGCAGAAGUUGGGGCUGCAGAGCUUCCAGAAGGAGAGCUGGAGCGAUGCACCUCUCAGUCCAUCAUGGAAACAACAGUGGAAAUAACAAGGUGGGACACAUUGUGUGCACUUAUCUUGGAAAUGAAUCUUCACUGGGCCAGCUGAAAUUUCUGGCCCAAACUCACAGCUGAUUUGUUCCAGACUUGUCUCUCCAUUCCCAUUCUAUCUAUGCAGCUUUAGCUAAAAGCAGCAGCUGCCCUGCCUGCAGUGACCAUGCUGGUGCAAAGCCUUCGUCUGACUCUGCACUGACAAGUUCAGUUUCAAAAAAGAAGGAUAACUUGUUUUAUUUUACCAGGGCUUUGUGAGAGGCUGAAGCUUCCGGAUAGGAUCUGCAACGCUCAGGUUCAGGUAUCAGUUGCAUAAUUUCCUGUUAUUUCAACACUCCUGUUUUUUUUUCCUUUUCUUUCUUUCUCUCUCUCUCUCUCUCUCUCUCUCUCUCUCUCUCUUUUUAAUGAGCUUCUUUGCAUACUGGAUAAGUCUUAUAUAAGCAUACAUUGGGUUGGAAAAAAAAAUUUUUUUUUGAGUAUUUUUUUUGGCAGACAUCUCCUGGCACAUGAUACAGCACUCAGAGCCAUCAACCGUAGCUGCGAUACAGAUGUUCAUUGCCUGUAUAAUCUUUCUCAUAUCAAGCAAUCACCCCGAGCCAAUUCCUUUAUUUUAAGCACCUUGCUGUGGGAACAGAGCUGUAAAUGCAGGAGCUGCGGAGUUCCCUCACACGUUUUACAACAGACAAACAGAAAAUUCAGCGCAGGUUCUCCGUGCAAACCAAACAGGCAGGGUGCUUUAGAUAAGAAAUGAGAGCCACUAGCAGAUAGUAUUAGGGAAAAAAAAGAGUCUCUCUCGAAAGAGAUACACUGGAGGAGUGCCAAUAGCACAUAGCUGUGUGGAGACUAAAUAAAACCAGGUGAGUUUCCUGCCAUUGUGGAAUAUCAAAUGUGAUUUCCAUUUGUGAUGGACGUGCUGGUUCUGCCAAGAUCAUCUGGAGGUUUUCAUUUUAGGACUUUUUAUUUUUGUUGGCCCAAUACAGAGCUACAGCCCAGAGCUAAAAGGGAGUGUUGCAGCACCGAUGCUCACAGCAGAUGAUGCCUUAAUCUGAGUGAGAAGCUCUUCCUGGGAGAAGGCUUUUCUGCAAUCAGUGCUAUAGGGCACAGGACAGCUCCUAAUACAAAACACAUGGGAAAACCCUGUGGAAAGAAAUGAUGUAUGAGCACUGAUCCUUACUCCCGAGCUACCAGGUAACAUCCUUCCACAUUAAGAACUGGGCUUGGUCCCAAAACAUCAUUCAAAUACUAGGUGUGAACCUGAGAUCCAGAUUAGGCUGUUUUGCACUUCUAAAGUGAUACGGAAAGGCUGGCAAGCUGCCCUAAUAAUGAUGAUAAAAAAACAGUCAGAGGUUUCUCUCCCCCAAGUGCUGUGCAGGGGUGGAGAAGGGCUGGCACGGCCCUCCUGCAGCCCUGCGUGUUGGGACAGGGCACCUGCUCCAAGCCGAGCCCUUGGCCUUGGUGUGUGUGCGUGAUUGCAGCGAUGCUCAGCUCCUUUCUGCUGCACUGCUUCCCGUUGGGUUCUUCUCCAGCUCAGGAGCUUCACCCCACCACUGGCAGACCUUCAGAGAAGUCAGUUCUUGCACAAACAGGAAGGCAGACUCCCUUCCCAUUAAUUGAGGUGGUGCUUCCAAUCCUCGUCCAGAGGACACAGGGGCAGGGAGGUGUUUGCCUCCAGGACCAGGAUUGGAGCUGGUCUGGAGAAAUACAUUUCCCAGGUGAGCAGAUCUGGCCCUUCCUGGGCAUCAGGUUCAGAGCCAGCUCAGGGACAAACUCAGCACUGUCUUCUGACCGUUAUGGGGGGAACCGAUUUCUAUCCUGAGUGCUUCAGCCCAUGCCAUGCAACCAGGAGUGUUGGACCCCUCCAGAUGCCCUAUGAAUGAAUUUCUCAAAGGCUGCCUGGGAGGAAACUCAAUCACAUUUCAGUUUAAUUAAGUGAUACCCAAAGUGAUGACGUCUGGAACCGACCUUGCUGGAUCUUCUCCUUCCCGCUGUGACUGCCAUAACUCCUGCAGCAGCAGCUGAGAUUGCUCAGACAUCUGCAGCUCCAUGUGGAGCCUCACUGCUGGCUUUGGUCUCAUGUUACCCAGCUGAGAUGUGAUCCUGGCAGGUCUGGGUGGGGGCUGCCUCGUGCCAUGCUGGGCACAUAGCAGCGUGCCCAUUGGCAGCUCAAUGGGAACCAACAGUGGAAUUACAGCAAAGAAUGUUUGAUGGACCACAAAAGGCUUUGAAAUUUUCUUCCAUGGAAGGCCAGUCUGAUCCUAUUAUAGUCCACAGUACGUCUGCAAUCUGUAGGACUUGCCGGUAACGUGGAUAUGCAUUAUUCCUUUAAUAAAAGCAAAUGAUGGCAAGGAAUGUGGCUCUUUUAACCUUCAGCUUGUGUAACCUGCAAAAAGGGAAAGCAAUCAGCUGGCCUUCCAGCUCAAGAGGUUUCUCCAUGUGAGUCUGGCACACGCACUCAGCCCGCUCCUGACACGCUUCCAAGAAUCCCGUCUGUGUCCCAGUAAAAAAACCCCAACCACUCUGUGUUGAGAGAGGCCCAUUCAAGCUGCAGCACACGCGGCCUGUGCUGCUCAUAUUUCCAGAUUCUGAAUCAUUUCCUCCAUCCACGCGGCCAUCUCUCUCUGUCUGGGGUUGGAAAUGUCCUGCUCUCUGCUGUCGCUGCUCCCUUUGAGUGCUGCCCUGGGGGGCUGCUGUGCAUGGAGAUGUGUCCUUUAAUGCAGCAGCAACAACAUCCCUUGACACUGCUGGGUUUCGUUAUGGGGAAUGUCAUCUGCCAUUGCCAUAUCUACUGGAGCAGGAUGGGUGCAAUGUCUCCCCAUACACAGUCCCAGCUCUGGAUUCAUCCCAUGGUGAUCCCUCCAGUUGGGGUACCCCUGCCUAGUGAGAUGGA
ensembl:lncRNA